rnacentral:rRNA from 1 species
GUUGUUGGAGAAGAACAGGUGUCAGAGUAACUGUUGACAUCUUGACGGUAUCCAACCAGAAAGCCACGGCUAACUACGUGCCAGCAGCCGCGGUAAUACGUAGGUGGCAAGCGUUGUCCGGAUUUAUUGGGCGUAAAGCGAGCGCAGGCGGUUUCUUAGGUCUGAUGUGAAAGCCUUCGGCUUAACCGGAGAAGUGCAUCGGAAACCAGGAGA